rnacentral:lncRNA from 1 species
UGUGCUGUUGGUCUCUUUUAUACAUAUAUAUCUUACUUUGUUUAAAAUAUAAUGGAAAUCAGAGAUUAAGAAAGAUGUUAAUGGUAAUAUAUGUUUGUCCCUGUAGGAGCUCAACCGCCCGACAACAGAUAUUAUUAAUUAUUAAUUAAUAUUGUCAUUGUUGUUGGAAAGGAUAUGCUACACCCUUCUGAAGCUUCCAAACUCUCUGUUCAACAUUAGUGUUUUUUAAGAUUGCAUCAUAUUUUGAUUAUCUCCAUGUAUGAAGAUGAAGCUGUUUAGUAAAUAACUACAAUAAUC